AUUGAACGCUGGCGGCAGGCCUAACACAUGCAAGUCGAACGAGUGGCGGACGGGUGAGCAAUGUCUGGGACACUGCCCGAUGGAGGGGGAUAACUACUGGACACGGUAGCUAAUACCGCAUACCCUCGGAUGUGCCCAGAUGGGGGUAGCGUGUCGGUGAGGUAACGGCUCACCUAGGCGACGAUCCCGAGCUGGUCUGAGAGGAUGACCAGCCACACUGGCACUGAGACACGGUCCAGACUCCUACGGGAGGCAGCAGUGGGGAAUAUUGCACAAUGGGCGCAAGCCUGAUGCAGCCAUGCCGCGUGUAUGAAGAAGGCCUGCGGGUUGUAAAGUACUUUCAGCGGGGAGGCGUUACCCGCAGAAGAAGCGCCGGCUAACUCCGUGCCAGCAGCCGCGGUAAUUC
rnacentral:rRNA from 1 species